UACGAAGGGUGCAAGCGUUACUCGGAAUUACUGGGCGUAAAGCGUGCGUAGGCGGUUUGUUAAGUCCGCUGUGAAAGCCCUGGCUCAACCUGGGAAUUGCAGUGGAUACUGGCAAGCUAGAGUGCGGUAGAGGAUGGUGGAAUUCCCGGUGUAGCGGUGAAAUGCGUAGAGAUCGGGAGGAACACCCGUGGCGAAGGCGGCCAUCUGGACCAGCACUGACGCUGA
rnacentral:rRNA from 1 species